rfam:Z.mays (MT141B) mRNA for T14 small nucleolar RNA
UGCAUUGCAAGUGAUGAUGAAGUCAAGGCUUGUUUCUCUACAUUCGCAGUUGCCGCCUAAGAGCUUUCGCCCUGCCAGGCUUGAGAGCUAGUGCUGCCAAAUCCUUCCUUGGAUGUCUGAUGCAAUGCA